AACAGAUAAUUUCUCCGAUUCAUUCAUGCCUAAUGCGCCCGCAAAGGCAGGAUGAACGAAAGGGUCAGCAUGGAAACGUGCUGGCCUCCCGUUUUGGAAAGGAGACCUCCUAUGUUGGAC
rnacentral:ncRNA from 10 species